AUUCUUAAAUCAUCAAUGCAAACUAUUUAGAUUAUGACUCAGUAAUCACCUUGUUGGGUUUAGGGAGUCUCAAUAGGGAUUUAGAUGGAUUAGUAGAUCGAAAACCCCUUAGGAUUAU
rnacentral:sRNA from 1 species